UUCAUAAAGCUUUACUAGAAAUUAAUGUGAACAAGGCUCCAGGGCCAGAUGGAAUACAACCUUGAGUUCUAAGAGAGCUUAGAUCAGUUUUAGACAGGCCUCUAUUUCUCAGGAUCGCUUUUAUCUGGUAUGGUAUCUAUGGAUUGUAGGAAAGCUGAUGUCAUUCCGAUAUUUAAAAAGGGAUUAUGAUCUCAGCCUGGUAAUUAUAGGCCAGUAAAUUUGACAUCUGUGGUGGGCACAUUAUUUAAACGCUUGUUAAAGGAUCACAUUCAAUGUUGUUCUUUUAUGAAGGAUAUGUUAUGUCAGACAAAUUUGAUUGCUUUUUAUGAUGAGGUAAGUAAGAUGCUGGACAUUGGGGGGCAGUGAUCUAUUUGGAUUUUGCCAAAGCAUUUAAUAUAGUGCCCCACAAACGACUGCUUUCUAAACUAAGGUCUGUUGGGCUUAAUGAAGUUGUUUGCACAUGGAUAGGAAACUAAAUUCUCUGCUUGGAGUAUGUCAUGUGCAGGACUGAUCUCUAGCAAAAUGAGCUGUGCCGGCAUAUUUAAAAAUGGAGACAAUUAGGUCACUAUUGCAGUAUGCUGGUGUCGUCUGGGAGAUUUGUGAAAUAUGCCUAAUUACUCACCUAGGUCCUCCUCAAAGUCUACAUUGAAGAUCUAAUGUGGUGAUGGGCAGGCCCGGACUGGCAAUCUGUGGGUUUUGGCAAAUGCCAGAGGGGCUGCUAUAAGGUGCCAUAGAAAGUCAGUAUAUAGCGGGCUGGUGGAGGCUAUUUGGGCACCACAGCGGGACAGGUUGCCUAGGGCGCCUGCACGGUGUGGGCCGGCUCUGCCAGGGCCUAUUUUAAUUCUCAGUCCGGACCUGGGUUGGAGGGCUUUUUAGCAAGUGAUGAAAUACAGGGUUAUAAAAGAUAGCUCAUAGUUGAUCCAGGGACUCGCCCCAUUGCCAUCUUGCAGUCAGGAAGGAAUUUUCCCCCUCUCAGUCAUUGGAGUCUUCCCAUGGAGUUUUUUUUUGCCUUUCUCUGGAUCAACUAGCACUUAGACAAAACAAAAAUGUAUUGCAUUUAUAUACAUAGGGAGUCUGGAGAUUUUUGUUACUAAAAUUUCUGUACCCUUUUGUCAACCAUGAGAAACUAAGUUUUUUUAUUUUCAGUUUGAUAUUUGCACUUUGUAGUUUUGCAAAAAAUGUAAUUAUAUGGUGUUAUUUAAUUUUCUAUCCCCAGAGCUGCAGGACAAAAAAAAUAUCGGAAUGUAAAACCAUCCUUUCUCGAAGGGUGCAAAAGCCAAGUUAUUUUUGGCUCUGCUUUUUCCAUUAAAAGGAGAUUAUUUUCUCACUUCUCUGAGUCAUAGAGGAAAGAGUUCUUUUUGAUUCUGUUUGAACACACACAAACUGCUUGCCGCCUGGGGAAUCUGUGCCCUGGUUAUAGAUUGUUCCAAGCUAUGAUUCAUUCAGAUAACGAAUGCUGGGAAGAGGAAUGGGAAUAUUAUCAACUCCCUUUCUUGGGAUGCAUUCAUUAAGUAACUGGUUAACCCUUUCAUUCCAUAACGAUUUGAAACUUUGAGGAUUGGAUAGGUCUAAAGAAUGUUGGGCUCAUGGUGAUGUCAUGUUUUGGGUUGCACAAUCUACUGGGGCACUGUUAUAUUUUUUCCUCCAGCAUGUACAUUGUCCUGCAACCAAGCAAGAUGCUCUCCCAGAUAUGUCAACUGAGCCUCAUCAAGAUGAUACCUCUGCUCUCCCUUGUGGUGCUAUGAGAUCCAGAGCAAAUGACCUUACUGAUCUGGCUAUAGACUGACCUAUAUGUUGGGUCCAGACUAUAGUUAAUCCCCUCCAUAGGACUAUAUAAAAAAGUUUAAUUAGCUUUGUAUCUAUAUAUACAGUUUAUGUGUGUGGGCCUGGUCCAACACUGUCGCUGUGUGCUUCAAAAAUUACUAAUUUUUUUUUGCCCAAUGGCUAGUAUGGUCUUAGUUGAAGGAUACAGGUAAUAUCAUGUUCAGCCCCCUAUAGGUAGAGCUCACCAUGUGCAGGACUGAUCUCUAGCAAAAUGAGCUCUGCUUGGCAUAUUUAAAAAUUGAGAUAGAAAGGUUACUUCCUCUAUCCUCCAAGGUCACAUUCAGCGGGUUCCAAUAAGACCCAGACUCUAACCUCUUACCAGUAAGAUACUCUUCAGUUAUGGGGCUGUUUCUUCAAAAUAGGGCCACAAUGAAGUGAAGUGAAGAGCAACAAUGAAGUAAUGAACUGGAUUAGGAAAGAGAACUGCCCAACAGAAGGAGUUUACCAAUUUCAGGUAAAGCUCUGUACCUCCACUGAGUUCAAGUUCCCAAUGGUCAGAGCUGGUUUAAGAGUAAGACCUAACAUUUUAAGACCCCUGUGAUGCCCAGCAUUCGGUUCAAGCACCAAUUAGCUCAUUUCAUGUACACCAAACAAAUAUCCCACACCCAUCACCACAUUAGAUCUUCAAUGUAGACUUUGAGGAGGACCUAGGUGAGUAAUUAGGCAUAUUUCACAAAUCUCCCAGACGACACCACCAUACUGCUCUUGGGCCUCAGAGAGGGGAAUCAAUGGUCACAUGUGGCAGAGAAACUCCUAUUGAAUCCUAUUGAAAGGACAAAGAAAGGUAGGCACCCACCAUUGGUUCUAGUUGCUAACUCAGACACGGGGCCGGACUGGUAUGAUUUCUGUAAAGAUAUACAGUGAUAUCUAAAUGAAUUUCUAAAUAGCCAUGCAGCAUGUGGGUUUUAUGGGUGUCCAAUAAAGAGGUUGUGGGGCACAGAGACCUGUGAUAACCCCUUGAAUAGAGUUUGCAUUCAGCAGUGUUCUAAUCCAGAGGGCAGGCAGGGAAAGGAUUGUAGGCUUCCCUACCUAUCCCUAAACUUGUGCAUUAUUCAGACAUGCAAGUAAUGGAGCACAAAGGACAACAGGGCCCAGUUGAUGCUACCCUCCCUAUGGACUUCCAUGCAAUCCGUGUAUACCCUGCAUUCUGGACCAUGACUGCUCACAGAAAGUGAAAUAUGAUGCUAGGUCUCUGUUAUGUAAAUGUAAUGCAUUCGGUAACUCUACAUUCCUAUUAGUCAUGUUAUAGCCGGAGGGAUGGAUGGUUAAAUAGUUAGUUACAUAGUUAACAUGGCUUGAAAUCAAAUUGCGCUUUUAUGUAUCUUGCUCCCCCUCUGUAACAAAAUGCCUAACUGCAGUACCCACUAAUGGCGACCCUGCUCCCGCUUGCCUUGUGUGAAGCAUGGUACACAAGGUGUAACAAUAGAGACUGAAUUCAGUGCAGGUGUUAAACUGAUGGGUAAUUCAUAUAUACAUAUAUUGGAUCCACUAUCCAAAACUGGGAUGCAUUAGAGUGGCCCAAUUGCUUCAAUUUGAACGAUCUCUGACUUGAGGGUGCAUUUGUAAAUUACCCCGACUGUAUUCCUAUUAAUAACAACAAAACCAGUCUCAUUAAGUUUUGACUGCAAUGAAGUUUGAAUGAAGCAAGAGUGACAGGUGACUCAUUUAAAGAAGUGAUACAAAGCACAUACUGUAGUAUAUGUGUAUAUAUAUUUAUUAAUUUCAGGCAAGAUUUCCCCCUUUCAAAGCAAAAGUGAAAAAGCAAGGAAUUAUUACUUGCUUUUUUUCUUUGGCAACAGUUUGGGGGGGACUCUUUCCUAUUUCAGCACAUUAAUGAUCCAUGCACAAAGCAGAAUCCAUACAGAAUGGGUUUAUUGAGAUGGGAAUAGAAGAACUUGACUGAUCUGCACAGAGCCCUGACCUCAACCCAACUAAAACCCAUAAGGGAUGAAUUGGAAUCCUGACUGUGAGCCAGACCUGACCGCCAACAUCAGUGCCAAACCUUGUGCUCUUGGUACUGAAUCCUAUUGUCCCAACACCUAGUGGGAACCUUCUCAGAAGAGUAGAAGCUGUUAGGGAAGUUCUUGUGAAAGUCAUGACUUUACAUGUGACGCAUAUAGCGUGAAUGGUAAGUGGUCAGAAAAAUAGAACAAAGCUGAAUAUCCCUGGUCUGACUAUUGAGUGAUCCUGUCAGUCAGAUUACAGGCCAUGCAUCUGACAUUAGGAUCACCAAAUUUUGCAUGUUGGUGUGCACACUAGCCAAGCACAAUGGAAUGGCUAGAGUGAUGCUGUCUUAUUCUUCUCCAGGUUGGGUAUUUCUGCGCAUGCGCAGUUGGAGCAGUUUGCCGGUUUGCGACAAAUGCUCAUGCGUGGAAUUACACUGAAAUUGCUGAUCUCUCAGUAAGCUUACAGAGGAGACGGAGGAUGGACGCGUGGAACUUCGCUGGAAGAAUCUUCUUCCCGAGGUAAUCAUGUGCUGGGAAUCCUGGAGCUAACGCCCUUCCAGACCACACGUCAAAUGCUGCAGUUCAGUUGCGCCAAAAGAAUAGUGCACACGCAUCAUUUGCAUUCCGAAUAUUAAAAAUUAAGCCAGUGAACACCAGAAAUUACGCCAGACACUUACAUGUGUGUUUUUAUGAAAUAAACCAUGUCUAUUGCA